UACACUCCUACGGGAGGCAGCAGUGGGGAAUUUUGGACAAUGGGCGAAAGCCUGAUCCAGCAAUGCCGCGUGUGUAAAGAAGGCCUUCGGGUUGUAAAGCACUUUUGUCCGGAAAGAAAUCCUUGGCUCUAAUACAGUCGGGGGAUGACGGUACCGGAAGAAUAAGCACCGGCUAACUACGUGCCAGCAGCCGCGGUAAUACGUAGGGUGCGAGCGUUAAUCGGAAUUACUGGGCGUAAAGCGUGCGCAGGCGGUUUGCUAAGACCGAUGUGAAAUCCCCGGGCUCAACCUGGGAACUGCAUUGGUGACUGGCAGGCUAGAGUAUGGCAGAGGGGGGUAGAAUUCCACGUGUAGCAGUGAAAUGCGUAGAGAUGUGGAGGAAUACCGAUGGCGAAGGCAGCCCCCUGGGCCAAUACUGACGCUCAUGCACGAAAGCGUGGGGAGCAAACAGGAUUAGAAACCCCGGUAGUCCCAUGA
rnacentral:rRNA from 1 species